AGGGGAUUGAAAAAAGAGUUGAAGGGAAAACAUGGAAAUAGAGCUUUUGCAAAUGGGAAGAGGAGUUGAAAGACACAGGAAGGGAUAGGAAGGGCAGGACACAAAAACGAAUUAAGAUGUUAUAUACAUGUAUGAAUUCCUUCCCAGGGCUAAAGAGUUUAUUCAAAAAGUUCUUUCACUCAGGCAGGUAAAUGACCCACUAUAAUACAAUAUGAUAAGUAUUGCAACAGAGCUAAGAACAAAGAGCUACGGGAUAAAGGGUUAGGGAAGGGGAGCAGUGGCUUCCCACAGGAGACCGUGUUUCCCUUUGCCAUCAAAAGUAGUAGAGUUUUCACCAGGAGAAGGCAUUCCAGGCAGAGGAAAACCAAAAAGCAAUGGUAUGGAGAAUAAUUGAGCAAGGUGAAAUUAGACAGCUGCCUGGAGUACCAUCUAAACCUUACUUUUUUCCGGGUCAUUAAAGAGAAUCAAUUCCACUGCUCAGAAAACAGCCUGGCUGGGCUGACCAGGAAAUUCCACAGAAGGCAGCGAACAGAACCCUGGCCAGCUUGUUGCUGUCAUUCUGAGGGGAGAGGAGGCAGGUGUGCACCUGACUCCUGGUCCCUUGGGGGAAGCGGCAGGAUUGCUAAGAUUCAGAGCCAUCCAGGAGCUGAGGUCCAGAAACAUGGGGACUCCAGGCAAACAACUGGCCCAUUCGGUAACUGAAAAUAUUUCUUUCUCCAUAUUUAGAACAUUCUAUGAGUGGUUUAAAAGAUUUUUCUAUUUUCACAAAACAUG
rnacentral:lncRNA from 1 species